rnacentral:rRNA from 1 species
CCUACGGGAGGCAGCAGUGGGGAAUAUUGGGCAAUGGGCGCAAGCCUGACCCAGCAACGCCGCGUGAAGGAAGAAGGCUUUCGGGUUGUAAACUUCUUUUAAGAGGGAAGAGAAGAAGACGGUACCUCUUGAAUAAGCCACGGCUAACUACGUGCCAGCAGCCGCGGUAAUACGUAGGUGGCAAGCGUUGUCCGGAUUUACUGGGUGUAAAGGGCGUGCAGCCGGGAAGACAAGUCAGAUGUGAAAUCCCGCGGCUCAACCGCGGAACUGCAUUUGAAACUGUAUUUCUUGAGUACCGGAGAGGUCAUCGGAAUUCCUUGUGUAGCGGUGAAAUGCGUAGAUAUAAGGAAGAACACCAGUGGCGAAGGCGGAUGACUGGACGGCAACUGACGGUGAGGCGCGAAAGCGUGGGGAGCAAACAGGAUUAGAUAC